CAUUAAUUAAUUAAUUAAUAAUAAUAGUAUUUAGGUAAGAAACUUUUGAUUUGACUUAAACAAAUGAAAAAAAAAAAAAAAAAAAUAAAAGAUAAAGGAAAAAUCUGCAACUGAAUAGUUUUAGCAGCGCAACAACGAAUAUCUCUUUGCUUUACUACUGCGCGCAUGCGCGUCAAACUACUUAUACUGACGUUUCACACAUUUUUCUCUUCUUCGUUUUCUUUUCUUGCAGUUUCUUCAGCGUUCAAACAUAAUCAUACAUAAUAGCUUGUUGCAUACUCAGUUUGAUUGUUGGUUUACUAGGGUGGGCGUUGGUGUGGUGUGCGUGUGUGCAGGUAGGAAGUUAGUAGAGGAAAAUGGUGCUGUUAAAUGUCGUAAUGAGGCGAUGCUUUGGCGUAGAAUGGGUUUAGCUGGUGAUGAAAUAAGUGGUGGUCGUGGAGAAGAAGGGAGCAGCGUGUGGUUGUGGUGGUGGUAGUGCUGGAAAUGUUAUGAAAAGCGUUUAACACACGAUUCGUAUCUUAGCGGUCUACACUUUGCUGCACGCAUAAGAAGCGGUUGCACCGAGAGGAAGCCAUUCUAAUUUAAGAGCUAAAUGGUGGCUACGACUGAACUAGUUUCUCCCUAAGAAGCUGUCAUGUAAUGUCGAAACGAUCUUUAUAUAUUGAUAAAUAAGAAGCGGAAAUUUAAUGCAAUUCCGUAUGAAUCGAUGCUAGUGAUUCGACAGUCGCCGAGUCGGCGAGUGACCAUUUGCAUCAAGUCAUUCCAACAGCACCGGAACGACACAGAUUUAUGUCAAGCCAAGGGCUGUCACUCCAGCAGCCAAGAAGUGUACAUGGAAUGUUUUAAUAAUAAGUUGCGAACUUUUUAAGCGUGCAAUUCAUUAAUUUCUGCGAUUGAGGCUCUCUUACAAUUGAAUAAAUUUUGCCUUUUUCUUCGCCACAUUAUUAUGUGGCAAACGAAUCGGACUUCUUUUCAGCCCAAAAAACUGUUGUCUCUUAAACAACAGUUCGCAAAUAUGCAAAGGCAAUGAUUCAAUAUGUAAAAACAACCACAAAAUUAUGAUAUUCAUCGUAAAUGUCUUCAUUAAACACCUGGUAGAUUACCCCUAAACAACAUAAAUUCGAAUUAUAAUUAUGAAAGCUUCAAGAAGUCGAUACAUUUUUCGAACAAUGAAUUAUAUAUUUUUUUUUCAAAAGCAACGCAGCACAGAUGCAAUUACUUUACGGCCCGAUUACCAUGUUCUAGCGAGACUCCUCGCAUCUACUUGGCCUAAUCACGUUUAGCGUUAAAAGUCUAUUUGUGUCAGAUGGUCAGCUUAUUUUUUUUUUUUUAAUAUUACUAACCUCACCUCACUUUAAAACCGAAUUCUCAUAACAAAAAAUCUUUUUUACCGACUAGCAGGUCUCGUACAUUAUAAACUUCUAGUAGUUUCAGGAAAUAAUUACGUUUUUGAGCGAUUUAGACUUGAAAAUUGGAAAUUUCACGAUAAAUUUCAUUUUCUAUAGCAUCUUCUAGACACACUCUAGACAUUUAACGCCUUUCGAAGAGGCGCCAUGAGCAGCGCUUAGUAGUAACAAUAUUUUUUCAGUAGAAAAUAUGUUCUUUUUGGUUGUUUGUGUUUCCGACAGGGUAGGUUUGUCUCCAAACCAAAUUUGACAAGGGAUGACGGAAAAUCGUUCCACAAUACAUCACAAAAUAUGUUUGUCACUUCACAAAUCUAUUGAUGAGCUAUACAACCAGCUCUCUAA